rnacentral:rRNA from 1 species
UACGGAGGGAGCUAGCGUUGUUCGGAAUUACUGGGCGUAAAGCGCACGUAGGCGGCUUUGUAAGUUAGAGGUGAAAGCCCGGGGCUCAACCCCGGAAUUGCCUUUAAGACUGCAUCGCUUGAAUCCAGGAGAGGUGAGUGGAAUUCCGAGUGUAGAGGUGAAAUUCGUAGAUAUUCGGAGGAACACCAGUGGCGAAGGCGGCUCACUGGUCCGGUACUGACGCUGAGGUGCGAAAGCGUGGGGAGCAAACAGG